rnacentral:lncRNA from 1 species
CAAAGAUUUUCCAGCCACAGUGAUUUGGGACACAAGGGACAGUCCUGCCGUGACAUAGCCAGCAUCUUAGGGAUGUGAAGUACCCGCCACACACCAGGAAGACACAACGGGGAAGAAAACAGCCAAAGUCCCUGAUCUCAGACACAUAUGAUCACAAGUACAUAUGCAAUUGGCCCAUUGUAUCUGCAGGCUCUUCGUCAGGGGAUGCAACCAAACUCAGGUUAAA